GUCUAUGGCCAUGCUACCCUGAACACGCCUGAAUUCAACUGAUCUUGGAAGGUGAGCAGGGUCGGGACUGGUUAUACUUGGAUGGGAGACCAUCUAGGAUGACCAGGGGCCGUAGGCG
rnacentral:rRNA from 1 species